rnacentral:rRNA from 1 species
AACUGGGCACUUGCCACCCUGAACGCGCCUGAUCUCGUCUGAUCUCGGAAGCUAAGCAGGGUCGGGCCUGGUUACUGCUUGGGUGGGAGACCACCUAGGAAGACCGGGUACAGCAGGCG